ACUGGGUUUAAUGCUCUAUAGACAACAUAUACUGGAAUGUUUUGUUGUCAAAAGGAUCUUUCUAUUCCGAAAGUAAUUGCCUAAAGAUGAGGUUGCGGCGUAUUAGGUAGUUGGCGGGGUAACUGCCCACCAAGCCGAUGAUGCGUACGGGCCCUGAAAGGGGGAGCCCGGAGAAGGGAACUGAGAUAAGGUCCCUAGCCCUACGGGGUGCAGCAGUCGCGGAACCUUUACAAUACACGAAAGUGUGAUAGGGGGAUUUCGAGUGCUUCCACUGGAAGCUUUUGCCAAACGUAAAUAAUUUGGCGAAUAAAGGGGGGGCAAUAUACGUGCCAGCCGCCGCGGUAAUACGUAACCCCUAAGUGGUUUCCACUUGUAUUGGGCCUAAAACGCCUGUAGCCUGUUCGUUAAGUCCUUUGUGAAAUCAACCCGCUCAACGGGUUGAAUUGCUAAGGAAACUAGUGGGCUUGGGGAAAGAAGACGUGAAGAGAAUUUUUGGGGUAGCGGUGAAAUGUGAUGAUCCCAAAAAGACUACCAGUAGCGAAGGCGCUUCACGAGAAUUAUCCCGACGGUGAGAGACGAAAGCUGGGGGAGCGACCAGGAUUAGAUACCCUGUUAGUCCCAGCCGUAAACGAUGUGGACUAGGUGUUCCAAUUCCUACAUGGAUAUGGAGUGCCGAAGCGAAGGCAAUAAGUCCACUGCCUGGGGAGUACGCCCGCAAGGGUGAAACUUAAUAGAAUUGGCGGGGACUCACUACAAGGGGUGGAUGCUGCGGUUAAU
rnacentral:rRNA from 1 species